AAUCAACGCUGGCGGCGUGCCUCAGACAUGCAAGUCGAACGAUUAAAGCUCUCUUCGGAGAGUGUAUAGAGUGGCGCACGGGUGAGUAACACGUAAGUAAUCUACCCUCGAGUGGGGAAUAACAACCGGAAACGGUUGCUAAUACCGCAUAAUGCAGCGGCACCGCAAGGUGACAGUUGUUAAAGAUUUAUCGCUUGAGGAGGAGCUUGCGGCAGAUUAGCUAGUUGGUAGGGUAACGGCUUACCAAGGCUACGAUCUGUAACCGGUCUAAGAGGACGGUCGGUCACACUGACACUGAAUAACGGGUCAGACUCCUACGGGAGGCAGCAGUCGGGAAUUUUGGGCAAUGGGCGAAAGCCUGACCCAGCAACGCCGCGUGAAGGAUGAAGUAUUUCGGUAUGUAAACUUCGAAAGAAUAGGAAGAAUUAAUGACGGUACUAUUUAUAAGGUCCGGCUAACUACGUGCCAGCAGCCGC
rnacentral:rRNA from 1 species